rnacentral:pre_miRNA from 1 species
GAAGUACUCCCUCCGUCCGGAAAUACUUGUCGGAGAAAUGGAUGUAUCUAGACAUAUUUUAGUUAUAGAUACAUCCAUUUCCGCGACAAGUAAUUCCGGACGGAGGGAGUAUCAU